UUGAAGAGGAUCACAACAAAAAAGGGCGCAUUUUAGUGCGCCCUUUUCCCAUGCUU
rnacentral:sRNA from 1 species